GGUCAAUUUUUUAUGUAUGAGUACUUGGAUCAAUUUUUAGGCUAAAGAAUAAAGAAGCUAGAUGAUAAAAUAGUUUUAUAAACUAUGAUAUGUGCAAAUCAGGGGGAGACAUCCUUGAUUUUGUAGGAAUGCCGAACGUUCUUAAGUGUACUUUAUUCUAGCUCACUGCAUAUAAUAUAUAAUAACCCCCAUAUUUAAAUAUGUGCGUGAAUAUUUCACAUAAAAUUUUAUCAUAGCAUAUAUGAAUGGGCCUCCGCUUGUAGUUGAAGAUAUAUGAAUUUGAACUAUUUUAAGCUCAUCAUAGGGGAUUUCUUUUGAAGUAUGCUAUUAAAGAUAUAAUAUUGACAUUAGUGGGAGAGAAAGCCUAUGUUAAAUGCCAAAUAUUAUUUCCAUAAAAGGAAAAUGAUCUUAAGAGAAAAUAUUCCUUAAAGCUUGA
rnacentral:lncRNA from 1 species